UCAGCCAACUCCCCUAGCUUAGGCAAUUCAAGCAGACUCGUGAAGCAGCAAAUUCAUUCCCAUUUUGCUCUUGUCGUAGUGGUCGUACCAUUUUACACACAAUACCAGAAGCUUCCGACAAGACGACGAACUCAUUGAGUUUUCUUCACUCGCUUUUCUCUAAGAGACGCGUUUUCUACUAUUUUAUUUUUUAUUUUUUUUGGUUUUUGUAUCUUUAUUCGAUUUUUAUUUUUAUUUUUCUUUCUCGCUUUGUAUCGCUCUAAUGGUGGGUUGAACGUGUGCAAAUUCACGUUUGGCCGCCAUUUCUCUUUGUUGACGGAAAUUUCAGCUUUUUUGUUUUUUUUUUUGGGCCGGGAAAUCCAAGCUCUUUGUCGCCUUAAUUGAAUCUCAUUUUGGACUCGUACACAAAGAGAGAGAGAGAGAGAGGGAAGGGAAUGGGGGUUUCGGACAAUUCGAAGGGGGUGAUACUGGCAGUGGCAUCGAGCGCAUUCAUAGGUUCCAGCUUCAUAUUAAAGAAGAAAGGCCUCAAGCGCGCUGGUGCUAUCGGUACUCGUGCAGGAAUCGGCGGCUAUACUUACUUAUUAGAGCCUCUGUGGUGGGCUGGCAUGGUGACAAUGAUUGUUGGAGAGGUUGCCAAUUUUGUGGCUUAUGUAUAUGCUCCAGCAGUUCUUGUGACCCCACUUGGUGCACUGAGUAUAAUAAUCAGUGCUGCUUUGGCUCACUUCUUGUUGAAGGAACGAUUACAGAAAAUGGGUGUUUUGGGAUGCUUGUCUUGUAUUGUGGGAUCAGUUGUAAUUGUAAUCCAUGCACCUCAAGAGCAUACUCCAGCUUCUGUACAAGAAAUCUGGAUUCUGGCUACUCAACCAGCUUUUCUGAUUUAUGUUGCAGCAACACUUUCUGCAGUGUUAGCUCUGAUUUUGCAUUUUGAACCUCGCUAUGGACAGACAAAUAUACUUGUCUACUUGGGAAUCUGUUCGUUAAUGGGAGCUAUAACGGUUGUAAGCAUAAAGGCCAUUGGAAUUGCUAUAAAACUUACAAUGGAGGGGGUGAGUCAGGUAGCUUAUCCUCAAACUUGGUUCUUUGUGACUGUCGCUGCCAUAUGCGUCAUUACACAGUUAAAUUACCUCAACAAGGCCCUAGAUACAUUCAAUGCAGCUAUUGUUUCUCCUGUAUAUUAUGUGAUGUUCACAACUCUUACAAUUAUUGCCAGUGCAAUAAUGUUCAAGGAUUGGUCUGGUCAAAAUGUGAGCAGUAUAGCCUCCGAGUUAUGUGGAUUCAUCACUGUGCUAUCAGGAACAAUCAUACUUCAUGCAACGAGAGAACAGGAAACGGCUUCUACACAAGGAAUCGGGUAAACCUUAGCUGAGGUUAUUUAUUUCUAUAAAGGCGGGCCUGAGGGCCUUGAAUACAUGUAUGAUACAUGGGUAUAUGGCUCACACCUUGAGGAUAAAAAGGUACUGUGACAUGGUAUAUUAGUGGAGAUUCGAUGAAGAACAUCGAAGAUGAGUGUUUGAUCGCCUUGCAUGGUGCAGAUUAUCUUGAACAAUAGAUUUUUGCAUUUUAGAUGGAACUAGAUGAACCUCAGCUCCCAGCAAUGAAGCGACACUGCAACUAGCAUUUAUAGUAGUGUUUGCUGAGUGGGAAAAUUCCAGUCUUUUAUGAUGGGUUUAAAUUUCUUCAACAGCAGAGUCAUGAGAGCUCAAUUAAACACACAAGUGAUUCAUGAUUUGCAAGGCACCACUCUCGGCUCAAAGUGCAGUAUCGUCUUUGCACUCAACUGUGGAAAAUGGAUUCAGAUGCUGCAAAAGCUCCAGUGCAAACAGAGAAAUUCAUUGUGGUCCAGCAUUUUCCUCAUCGUCCAUGGCAGUCCAUGAUAUGUGUACGUAUACUGAUGCUCGUCCAGUUUUCUCGUUAUAAAGGUUUCAGUUGGUAGAUUUUCUGGGUGUUCAGGACUCAUUAUUUUUUAUAUUUCCUGUCCUUUUUUUUUUAAAUUUUUUGAAGUUCGUAUAAUUUAAGUCCAUCUCUGGCAUCUGAGAGUUAAACAGAGAGUAUAGAUGUAUACGGCUGUUUGUAGUCAAAUAUCUUACAGCGUUUGCAAUUGUGAAUUACAAAUUUUGAAGUUGAAAUUUUUAUGCAUUUGCUGUCUUUAAGCUUGUUUUGGA